rnacentral:rRNA from 1 species
AACGAACGCUGGCGGCAGGCUUAACACAUGCAAGUCGAACGCGUGUAGCAAUACACGAGUGGCGCACGGGUGAGUAACGCGUGGAUAUCUGCCUUUUGGUUCGGAAUAACCCCGGGAAACUGGGGCUAAUACCGGAUGGUUCCUACGGGAUAAAGAUUUAUCGCCAAAAGAUGAGUCCGCGUACGAUUAGCUAGUUGGUGAGGUAAUGGCUCACCAAGGCGACGAUCGUUAGCUGGUCUGAGAGGACGAUCAGCCACACUGGGACUGAGACACGGCCCAGACUCCUACGGGAGGCAGCAGUGGGGAAUAUUGGACAAUGGGGGCAACCCUGAUCCAGCCAUGCCGCGUGAGUGAUGAAGGCCUUCGGUUGUAAAGCUCUUUUGGUCGGGGACGGAUGAUGACGGUACCCGCAGAAUAAGCCCGGCUAACUACGUGCCAGCAGCCGCGGUAAU